rnacentral:rRNA from 1 species
GAUGAACGCUGGCGGCGUGCCUAAUACAUGCAAGUCGAGCGAACGGACGAGAAGCUUGCUUCUCUGAUGUUAGCGGCGGACGGGUGAGUAACACGUGGAUAACCUACCUAUAAGACUGGGAUAACUUCGGGAAACCGGAGCUAAUACCGGAUAAUAUUUUGAACCGCAUGGUUCAAAAGUGAAAGACGGUCUUGCUGUCACUUAUAGAUGGAUCCGCGCUGCAUUAGCUAGUUGGUAAGGUAACGGCUGACCAAGGCAACGAUGCAUAGCCGACCUGAGAGGGUGAUCGGCCAAACUGGAACUGAGACACGGUCCAGACUCCUACGGGAGGCAGCAGUAGGGAAUCUUCCGCAAUGGGCGAAAGCCUGACGGAGCAACGCCGCGUGAGUGAUGAAGGUCUUCGGAUCGUAAAACUCUGUUAUUAGGGAAGAACAUAUGUGUAAGUAACUGUGCACAUCUUGACGGUACCUAAUCAGAAAGCCACGGCUAACUACGUG